UUUAUCGGUAUUAGCCUCAAGAUUAUCCAAAUACAUAGCCAAUUCUUCCACCUUUUGAAAUUUCGUUAGUUGAAAAAAGUUUUACCAAAAAUCGCCGAGUCAUUAGCGACAUACCUGUUCCUCUACGGAAGAGUCAACUACCAAAAUAAAAUCAGAGCCUUCCAUCUCUGUUAUUAAUACGAAUCUAGCAGACGAGAAAUGCAAAUAUUCGCUGUUAGUGGUAGUUGGAGAGUAGGACUUGGCACCUCCACCUCGUUCAAUGGUUAAAACGA